rnacentral:tRNA from 1 species
GCGGGUUUAGCUCAGUUGGGAGAGCGUCAGACUGAAGAUCUGAAGGUCAUGUGUUCGAUCCAUAUAAACCGCA